rnacentral:rRNA from 1 species
UACGUAGGUGGCAAGCGUUGUUCGGAAUUAUUGGGCGUAAAGGGCGCGUAGGCGGUUUGUUAAGUCAGUUGUGAAAGCCCGGGGCUCAACCCCGGAGGGUCGACUGAUACUGGCGGACUAGAGUACGGAAGAGGUAGCUGGAAUUCCCGGUGUAGCGGUGAAAUGCGUAGAUAUCAGGAGGAACACCGGUGGCGAAGGCGGGUCUCUGGGCCGAUACUGACGCUGAGGAGCGAAAGCGUGGGGAGCGAACAGG